GGUAAUGCCGGAUGUUCCAGUUGAUCGCAUGGUCUUCUGGGAAAGCUUUCGCGGUAUGGGAUGGGGUCGCGUCCUAUCAGCUUGACGGCGGGGUAACGGCCCACCGUGGCUUCGACGGGUAGCCGGCCUGAGAGGGCGACCGGCCACAUUGGGACUGAGAUACGGCCCAGACUCCUACGGGAGGCAGCAGUGGGGAAUAUUGCACAAUGGGCGCAAGCCUGAUGCAGCGACGCCGCGUGAGGGAUGGAGGCCUUCGGGUUGUAAACCUCUUUUAUCGGGGAGCAAGCGAGAGUGAGUUUACCCGUUGAAUAAGCACCGGCUAACUACGUGCCAGCAGCCGCGGUAAUACGUAGGGUGCAAGCGUUAUCCGGAAUUAUUGGGCGUAAAGGGCUCGUAGGCGGUUCGUCGCGUCCGGUGUGAAAGUCCAUCGCUUAACGGUGGAUCCGCGCCGGGUACGGGCGGGCUUGAGUGCGGUAGGGGAGACUGGAAUUCCCGGUGUAACGGUGGAAUGUGUAGAUAUCGG
rnacentral:rRNA from 1 species